GUGGCUUCAAUGGCUCCAUCUCCCAGGAGAAGCAGUAGGAAAGAUGCCAACGCCUUGCCAAGCAUGUCCUCAACUUUCUGGGCUAUCAUGAUCCUGGCUAGUCUCCUAAUCGCUUACUGCAGCACGGUUAUCUGACUGAUUUCAUAGAGGACUCUCCAUUUGUUUGAACCAACCCUAGAGAGCACCGAGAGCAGGUGAAAUAGCUGAUUUAAGCAAAAGUCA
rnacentral:lncRNA from 1 species